rnacentral:rRNA from 1 species
AACGAACGCUGGCGGCGUGCCUAACACAUGCAAGUCGAACGAGAAAGGGGCUUCGGCUCCGAGUAAAGUGGCGCACGGGUGAGUAACACGUAGGUAACCUGCCUCUAAGAUUGGGAUAACCUGUCGAAAGAUGAGCUAAUACCAAAUAAGACCACGGCUUCCUCGGAAGCAGGGGUCAAAGGUAGCCUCUACUUGUAAGCUAUCACUUAGAGAUGGGCCUGCGUACCAUUAGCUAGUUGGUGGGGUAACGGCCUACCAAGGCCAAGAUGGUUAGCUGGUCUGAGAGGAUGAUCAGCCACACUGGAACUGAGACACGGUCCAGACUCCUACGGGAGGCAGCAGUGGGGAAUAUUGCGCAAUGGGCGAAAGCCUGACGCAGCAACGCCGCGUGAGUGAUGAAGGCC